UCUAAAACAUGUUUUAUAUAAUAUAUUUAUAAUCAGUAAUUGCUUCCUUACUUGGGAUUUCAGGCUAUUAUUUUAAGCUUCAGAACAUCAGUGACUUGUAGUGAUAGAGUGAUUACAAUUCUCUCUUUUCCUUAUUUCUAAAUGGAGAUGGCUUGGAAAACCUGGAUAUUAUCCUCACCUGGAAGAUUAGUUUUCACAUAUUUGAGCACCUGGUUUUAAUACUCUGGACAGGGGACAGAAUUCUGAAUGCUGGCAUUCAAACAGAUGCAUGUCCUGAAACAUCGGUCAGGAUCUCCCAUAAGUGUCCCAGAUAUCUUAGCCAAGCAGAUGUUCACCAUUAUUUUGAGCCAUGGAAAAAUGUAGGAUUCACACUAGAAGAAAUAAUACAGAACAUGGAAGACGUCUGAACUAUUCUCUGUUUGCUUUGUCUUGCAAGUAACGAGGAAUUUGUAUUUUCUGAGUCAGAGCUGGAACUGGAACACAGACACCUCACGUUCUGGAAGGACCUCACUCUUCAGAACCUCCAGCCACCAGGAAAGACAAGGCCUGCACCCCCCUCUCAAAAGGCUGUCCUGUUUUUAUGUAGAAAAGCAACACAUUUCUGUGAAACAGAAGAAGAAAGAAGAGAUCUCUCUGAUGAUAUUCUGCUCAGUUUCUUGUUCUGGCACGUUAUUGUGUCCAGUGAUUGCAGGAGGAAAGGAAGACCUAGCAGCCCUUAAGACGCAAUGGCUGUUGGCUCCAUUGUUUUUCUGGGGGUAGUGUUCAUUCUCGAAUUAUAACACCCAUUCACUCUCAGCCAUGAAGCUUUCAGUUUCUAUGAGAUUUCAGGACUCAUUUCUAUCUAAUAUGAAACCUUAAAGUUUUCCAGGAAAACUGUUGGUGGUAAAAAUCCGCUAUUGUCCAUUGUUGGCACUGAAGAAAGGCUGUUGGAACAUGGCAUGUAGACGUUCCCUCCCACCAUUCCUUCCCAGCAUUAACAGUGUCAUCGCUGACCCAAAUAAAUGCAUUGUUCUCUGAAGCA